rnacentral:lncRNA from 1 species
AUUUCAUCAAAAAUAAUUUUAUCACAAAAAAUUUACACAUAUUUUUUUUAAAAAAAUAAUUUAUGAAUUUAUAUAUUUAAUUUAUAUUUAUAAUAUCUUUUUAUAAAUUAAAAAUAAAAAAAUAAAAUAAAAAAUUUACAUAAUAAAUCUAUAAAUAAAUUUUAUCAUUUUAUUAUAUUAAAUUAAAAUUAUAAUAGAUCUAAAAGAAAAAUAAAAAAUUACAUAGAA